CAGCAGCCGCGGUAAUACGAAGGGGGCUAGCGUUGUUCGGAAUUACUGGGCGUAAAGGGUGCGUAGGCGGCUUGACAAGUCUUGUGUGAAAUCUAUGGGCUCAACCCAUAGUCUGCACGGGAAACUGUCGGGCUUGAGAAUGGGAGAGGUGAGUGGAAUUUCCGGUGUAGCGGUGAAAUGCGUAGAUAUCGGAAGGAACACCUGUGGCGAAAGCGGCUCACUGGACCAUUUCUGACGCUGAUGCACGAAAGCUAGGGGAGCAAACAGGAUUAGAUACCCGAGUAGUCCCUGUCUCUUAUAC
rnacentral:rRNA from 1 species